UUUGGGAAAUGAUGCGAAAAUACGAACAUAUUAUCAGAGGCUCUUGCUGUGCUGAUUAUUUGUAUUUGCACGUUAGUCUGAUCCCAAA